rnacentral:lncRNA from 1 species
GGGUCCUUUAGUAUGAUGAUCAUUGGAGGCCCCAAAGGCCUGGUGCUCAUCUGCUAUUGAAAUUAUCAUUCAUAAUAUGAUGACUUAGUUGAGUCUCUCUACCAAGUGGUCAGAUUAGCUGACUAAAAUCGGGCCUGAUCAUUUGGUUGUUGGAUUCGUAAGUAUGAUCAUGUUAAUGGUUGGACCUAACCAGAGCUUGUAGAGAAGACCAAAGUCAAUUAAAAAGUUAUCUGGGGCUAAAUUAAUUACUAAAAAUUAUUUGGUGAAAUAAUUGAUUAAUAAACCUAUCCAUAUAUGUACAUGGGUG